AACGUAGGACACAAGCGUUAUCCGGAGUUACUGGGCGUAAAGGGCGUGUAGGCGGAGAUGUAAGUCUAUUCUGAAAGCUCCUGGCUAAACUGGGAGAGGCGAAUGGAGACUGCAUAUCUAGAGUGAGGAAGAGGAAAGUGGAAUUCCGCGUGUAGUGGUGAAAUGGCGUAGAGAUGCGGGGGAACACCAGUGGCGAAAGCGACUUUCUGGUCCUUAACUGACGCUGAGGCGCGAAAGCAUGGGGAGCGAACGGG
rnacentral:rRNA from 1 species